UGCUCAGGACGAACGCUGGCGGCGUGCCUAAUACAUGCAAGUCGAGCGGACAGAAGGGAGCUUGCUCCCGGAUGUUAGCGGCGGACGGGUGAGUAACACGUGGGUAACCUGCCUGUAAGACUGGGAUAACUCCGGGAAACCGGAGCUAAUACCGGAUAGUUCCUUGAACCGCAUGGUUCAAGGAUGAAAGACGGUUUCGGCUGUCACUUACAGAUGGACCCGCGGCGCAUUAGCUAGUUGGUGGGGUAAUGGCUCACCAAGGCGACGAUGCGUAGCCGACCUGAGAGGGUGAUCGGCCACACUGGGACUGAGACACGGCCCAGACUCCUACGGGAGGCAGCAGUAGGGAAUCUUCCGCAAUGGACGAAAGUCUGACGGAGCAACGCCGCGUGAGUGAUGAAGGUUUUCGGAUCGUAAAGCUCUGUUGUUAGGGAAGAACAAGUGCGAGAGUAACUGCUCGCACCUUGACGGUACCUAACCAG
rnacentral:rRNA from 1 species